CCUACGGGAGGCAGCAGUCGAGAAUCAUUCACAAUGGGGGAAACCCUGAUGGUGCGACGCCGCGUGGGGGAAUGAAGGUCUUCGGAUUGUAAACCCCUGUCAUGUGGGAGCAAAUUAAAAAGAUAGUACCACAAGAGGAAGAGACGGCUAACUCUGUGCCAGCAGCCGCGGUAAUACAGAGGUCUCAAGCGUUGUUCGGAAUCACUGGGCGUAAAGCGUGCGUAGGCUGUUUGGUAAGUCGGGUGUGAAAGGAGCGGGCGCAACCCGCGGACGGCACAUGAUACUGCGAGACUAGAGUAAUGGAGGGGGAACCGGAAUUCUCGGUGUAGCAGUGAAAUGCGUAGAUAUCGAGAGGAACACUCGUGGCGAAGGCGGGUUCCUGGACAUUAACUGACGCUGAGGCACGAAGGCCAGGGGAGCGAAAGGGAUUAGAUACCCGAGUAGUC
rnacentral:rRNA from 1 species